GGGGUUGUGGCUCAGUGGUAGAGUGCUCGCCCCGCACAUGCGGGACCCUGGGUUUGAUUCUCAGCACCACA
rnacentral:tRNA from 1 species